CAGCUACUGGCAUGAGCCACAGCUAGGCGGAGGAGAGCCCUGGCAUCUUUGCGCUGUGACUGUGAGCCAUGUUACGGUUUAUCUUGCAUUGGUUACAAAUUCUCUUCAGUCCGCCCUCUGCUUGGGCAAGCCCGUCCAGUCAUCUUGAAUUAUGAGUGACCCCCAAAUCUUUGUUUCCGGCCCAGAAAUCCCUCUCCUGAGCCAUCGACUCGCAGUCCAACCGUCACUGUCGAUUUGGAUUUCACUCAUUCAACAGAUAUUUAUUGCACGUCCUCCGUCUGCCUCGCAUUUGGGUUGGUGCUAACAGAUGCGGUGGUGAAUGGGAUAGGCAAGAUUCCUGCCUAGGGCACUCACAGCCUAGUGGAGGGAACGAAUCAGAUAAACACACGAGUCAUGCUAAUAAAUGUAAAAUCUCAAACUGAAAAGUGAUCUGGAGUUAUAACAACUUCAGAAAGAAAAUGGACUGGACUGGACUUGGGCUGAGCUCUAAAAUCUGAGUAGAGCUAACUGGGUGGAUGUGAGGGGAGAAGAACCUCUGGGAGCACUCCAGCGAGAACAGAAGCUGCAAAGGCUCUGGGUGGGAGGACGUGCUGGAGCAUCAAGAGAAGAAGGUGGAAAUUGGGGAGCAGAGGGCCAGCCAGGCCAGGACGGAGAUGGAGGAGGUGACACGGACAGAUCCACAAAGACAAGAAGGCCCUGCCUGAGAGACGGCCAGGCAGCCACCCAGAGGAGGAUGAGAGGGGUGUGCCGCCAGGCCGCCUGCUGCAGACAGUUCUGUGGACGUCGCUGCGGAGCCCACCAGCUGGGAGCCCCACGUGUAAGGCCCUCCAACACCCGACGGCACUAUUCGACCCAAGGCAGGGCCGGCAGGACACGCAGAUGAACGUAACCCCAAACUGCCGACCCACAAGUUGUGAGCGAAGAAAAUGGCUGUUUGGAGCCCUAAGAGCCCGGAGGGCCGGGAGCUUCUCUGGUCACUGAACAGAUGGAAAGUUGAACAAACAAACGAAAAGGUGGUCAAGCUCUGCGCGGACGGCCUCACCAGAGGCAGCACUCCCCAGGCCCUGGCUCUGCUCAGAGAGUUUUUAGUUCCGUACCACACCACAACCACGUGCAGGUGAGGCACGCGGGCACAGAGCCGAGGGGCUGAGGCGGCCUGGGCCCAGGGUCCACAACAGGAACGUGCACGAAUGGACUGGUGGGUGGAUGGGAUGGUGACUGAAUGGAUGGACGGAUGAAGAAGUAAAUGCCCUGGAGCCUGAAGAGAAGAGCUGACUUCUGGCCACUGAUGAGGACAGGGCUCUCCACCCGCUCACCCGCCCCACCUCCCUCCUGAGCCAGCGCCUCCCGCUCUGACCCCCAGGUGCAACCCUAGGGCAGACCUGGCU